GACGAACGCUGGCGGCGUGCUUAACACAUGCAAGUCGAACGGAAAGGCCCUGCUUUUGUGGGGUGCUCGAGUGGCGAACGGGUGAGUAACACGUGAGUAACCUGCCCUUGACUUUGGGAUAACUUCAGGAAACUGGGGCUAAUACCGGAUAGGAGCUCCUGCUGCAUGGUGGGGGUUGGAAAGUUUCGGCGGUUGGGGAUGGACUCGCGGCUUAUCAGCUUGUUGGUGGGGUAGUGGCUUACCAAGGCUUUGACGGGUAGCCGGCCUGAGAGGGUGACCGGCCACAUUGGGACUGAGAUACGGCCCAGACUCCUACGGGAGGCAGCAGUGGGGAAUAUUGCACAAUGGGCGGAAGCCUGAUGCAGCAACGCCGCGUGAGGGAUGACGGCCUUCGGGUUGUAAACCGCUUUCGCCUGUGACGAAGCGUGAGUGACGGUAAUGGGUAAAGAAGCACCGGCUAACUACGUGCCAGCAGCCGCGGUGAUACGUACGGUGCGAGCGUUGUCCGGAUUUAUUGGGCGUAAAGGGCUCGUAGGUGGUUGAUCGCGUCGGAAGUGUAAUCUUGGGGCUUAACCCUGAGCGUGCUUUCGAUACGGGUUGACUUGAGGAAGGUAGGGGAGAAUGGAAUUCCUGGUGGAGCGGUGGAAUGCGCAGAUAUCAGGAGGAACACCAGUGGCGAAGGCGGUUCUCUGGGCCUUUCCUGACGCUGAGGAGCGAAAGCGUGGGGAGCGAACAGGCUUAGAUACCCUGGUAGUCCACGCUGUAAACGGUGGGUACUAGGUGUGGGGUCCAUUCCACGGGUUCCGUGCCGUAGCUAACGCUUUAAGUACCCCGCCUGGGGAGUACGGCCGCAAGGCUAAAACUCAAAGGAAUUGACGGGGCCCCGCACAAGCGGCGGAGCAUGCGGAUUAAUUCGAUGCAACGCGUAGAACCUUACCUGGGUUUGACAUGGAUCGGGAGUGCUCAGAGAUGGGUGUGCCUCUUUUGGGGUCGGUUCACAGGUGGUGCAUGCCUGUCGUCAGCUCGUGUCGUGAGAUGUUGGGUUAAGUCCCGCAACGAGCGCAACCCUUGUUCACUGUUGCCAGCACGUUAUGGUGGGGACUCAGUGGAGACCGCCGGGGUCAACUCGGAGGAAGGUGGGGAUGACGUCAAGUCAUCAUGCCCCUUAUGUCCAGGGCUUCACGCAUGCUACAAUGGCUGGUACAGAGAGUGGCGAGCCUGUGAGGGUGAGCGAAUCUCGGAAAGCCGGUCUCAGUUCGGAUUGGGGUCUGCAACUCGACCUCAUGAAGUCGGAGUCGCUAGUAAUCGCAGAUCAGCAACGCUGCGGUGAAUACGUUCCCGGGGCU
rnacentral:rRNA from 1 species